rnacentral:rRNA from 1 species
UACUCCUACGGGAGGCAGCAGUCGGGAAUUUUGCGCAAUGGAGGAAACUCUGACGCAGUGACGCCGCGUGCAGGAAGAAGGUUUUCGGAUUGUAAACUGCUUUAGACAGGGAAGAAAAAGGACAGUACCUGUAGAAUAAGCUCCGGCUAACUACGUGCCAGCAGCCGCGGUAU